rnacentral:rRNA from 1 species
UUCGCAUGGGGGUUGGUGGAAAGGGUUUUUCUGUUGGGGGAUGGGCUCGCGGCCUAUCAGCUUGUUGGUGGGGGUGAUGGCCUACCAAGGCUUUGACGGGUAGCCGGCCUGAGAGGGUGACCGGUCACAUUGGGACUGAGAUACGGGCCCAGACUCCUACGGGAGGCAGCAGUGGGGAAUAUUGCACAAUGGGCGCAAGCCUGAUGCAGCGACGCCGCGUGAGGGAUGGAGGCCUUCGGGUUGUGAACCUCUUUCGCUCAUGGUCAAGCCGCAACAAUGGUUGUGGUGAGGGUAGUGGGUAAAGAAGCGCCGGCUAACUACGUGCCAGCAGCCGCGGUAAUACGUAGGGCGCGAGCGUUGUCCGGAAUUAUUGGGCGUAAAGGGCUUGUAGGCGGUUGGUCGCGUCUGCCGUGAAAUCCUCUGGCUUAACUGGGGGCGUGCGGUGGGUACGGGCUGACUUGAGUGCGGUAGGGGAGACUGGAACUCCUGGUGUAGCGGUGGAAUGCGCAGAUAUCAGGAAGAACACCGGUGGCGAAGGCGGGUCUCUGGGCCGUUACUGACGCUGAGGAGCGAAAGCGUGG